UUGGCUAAAAAGUUUGGAGCAGCCGUUGUUUCACUUGAGCAUCGUUACUAUGGUAAAAGCACACCAUUCAAAUCAACUAAGACAAAGAAUUUGAGGUAUCUUUCAUCUAAACAGGCGCUCUUUGACUUGGCCAUUUUCCGUCAGCAUUAUCAGGCAAGUUAUGUUGUAAUUUCCUGAACAUUUAUUUUCCCAUUUUCAAGAUUAUCAUGUAGGUAAAGGCAAUCAGUGAUGAGUCUGAUUGAUACCUUUGGGGCCUCUCUCUAUCUCAAUAUAUGUGGAAACCCAGCCAAUGUGGCAAAGAAGCGAAAAGUCAGAUUUAUUUUAGUCAUGCAUUUUUCUUUGCUUCAAUCCUAGCAUAAUAUCAAUACCUACAUUUUGUUAUGGACUUCUUUUUUUUUCGCCAAUUUUCUAUUUUUAUUUAUUUCACAAACUACAAGUGCAG
rnacentral:misc_RNA from 1 species